rnacentral:rRNA from 1 species
GACGAACGCUGGCGGCGUGCCUAAUACAUGCAAGUAGAACGCACAGUUUAUACCGUAGCUUGCUCCACCAUAGACUGUGAGUUGCGAACGGGUGAGUAACGCGUAGGUAACCUGCCUGGUAGCGGGGGAUAACUAUUGGCAACGAUAGCUAAUACCGCAUAAUAUUAAUUAUUGCAUGAUAAUUAAUUGAAAGGUGCAAUUGCACCACUACCAGAUGGACCUGCGUUGUAUUAGCUAGUAGGUGAGGUAACGGCUCACCUAGGCGACGAUACAUAGCCGAACUGAGAGGGGGAUAGGCCACACUGGGACUGAGAGACGGCCCAGAAGCGUACGGGAGGGAGAAGUAGGGAAUCGGAGGAAAGAGACGAAAGACUGACCGAGCAACGCGGGGGGAGUGAAGAAGGGUUUGGGAUCGGAAAGCUCGGUUGUAAGAGAAGAACGGGUGUGAGAGUGGAAAGUUGACAGUGUGACGGUAGCUUACGAGAAAGGGACGGCUAAGUAGGUG